UCCUCCCCCUCCAGACUCUCUCCCCAAAGCCUAUGCUUGAAAUAAACGGGGAAUGAAUGCGGGGCAGGCAGUGGCGGGAGUUAUUUUGCACGGGGCUCCGCGCAUUGACUUCAUGACUUUCCUCGAAAUGAUUGGGGUCUGCCAGUGUUUUUUCAGGGCGGAAGGGGGUGACGAGGAAAAGUACCGGGUUCUCAGAACUAAAGACUCCCGAGUCGAAAAGUCAAGAGGGGAGCGGGAAGGAGGAGCGGGAGCAAGGCUGGGAAAGGCUCUGCUAAGGAGUCCCGUGAACGUGGGGUGGGGAUGGCUGGGGCUGUCUGCAGAUCCAGCUUAAGAGGUUUUUGCUGUCAGAGGUAGACUCUCGGUCCAAGGAGAGGAAAUGCUUGCAUUUUCUCACUUUGGGGGUCUGGACGCCCCCACCUCCUAGCCCUGGAGACCCCCCCAACCCCGGAGUCCUGCACGAAGUGCGAGAGGAAGGGAGGGAACAAUGAGCUCAGAGCCGGGAAUGUGCCCCCAGCGCCUGUUUACAAACACCAAGCUAUUUACGAUCGCCGGAAAGCGAAACCCGACGCGGGCUCGGAGCAGCCCCGACCUCGCGGGCGGAGCCGGGCCCCGGCGCCGCGGGGAGGGCGGCUCUUUCUCCGAUCCCCUCCGGGCGGAGCAGCGGUGCGCCCAGGGCGCGGCGCAGCAGGGCCGGCGCGUUCGGCUGGGACCACGGCCGCUCCGCCUUUGUCUUCGAGGCGCCGAAGGGCUCUGGCUGAUGCCGUGCUCGGGCCUGAAGGGACCCGGCGCCCUCAGCUUUUCCCCGGCGACGCCUCGCGCUCUCCUCAGCCCCUUCUCCUCCCCAUCUCGCCCCCCACUCCGCUUUCCUGUCUCCAACCCGGCUCGGGGAAAACUCCCAGCGCCGAAGACAUCCACAUCAAAAGCUGAGGUUUCAGACAAAAAGCUGCGCCUGCCCGCAACUCGGAGGCUCCAACCAGCCACUGAUUUUUUACUUUCUCCCUUUAAAUACCUAUUCUCCGGCUUUAAAAAUUCCUUUUCUUUAUUCUCCCUUUCUAAGCUUGCCCUUUAUUACAUUUGGUGAUGUUAUUUUCGUUUUUAUUUUUUCAGCCGGCCCGACUCUGAUCUGCCGAAAUGGCUCAAGCCUCAGCAGCUCAACCCGCGGGCUAGAAACCUCACAUUUCCAAGCUGGGCUCGCAGCUCGCUCGGCUCGGGGCAAGAUCUUCUCCCCCUCCCUCCAGCUGAAACCUCGCAGAAAACUCCCCCUGCGGUCGACUGGAAAAUGAACUCACCCAAAUCUCGGGUCUUGUACUUUUCUCCACCGCCAACAUAUACACAGUUUCCUGGCACAAACGCCCCGCCACAGGCACAUCACGCGGGAGGUGAAGGCAGGCCCGCGUGUCAAAGCCAAGGGGAUCCAGAGAUGAAAAAAAGAAAGUUCAGAUACAACACUGGCUGGCUGGCUGUUUAAAAGAAACAACAUAGCCGAACACACUCCAAAUCAAACAGCCUUGGCGGAUUGUUCAGCAUUUGAAGGCUUGAUCUUUUGUGCCGUCUACUGGACAAUGGAAAAACUACAGUCUCUAUGAUUUAAACUUUUCUCUUGUCCAGUGUUGGGGGUGGGGAGUGGGUAGGAAGGGGGAUGUGACUUGCUACUGGUAAAUAAUAAGAGAGGAAACGAGACCUAAUUUAGACUCAGAGUACAGAUCUUGUGACUUCAAAUCUUCAAAUCCAAGUUUAGGACAUUAUAUUAACUGUAGGUAUGCCUCAACCACUUGAUUAAGGCACAAGGCUAAAACCUACAUUUUACACAACUCUGUGUGUGUGUGUGUGUGUGUGUGUGUGUGUGUGUGUGUGUGUGUGUGUGUUGGCUUGGAAAGAGAAAGAAAGAUGGUGGGACAAGCUUAGCAUCUCUGAAAAAAAAAUGCUGGUGGUUACUUGGCUCUGAGUGAGAAUUGUCUUGACAGCCAAGUUACAUGUAUUUAUUGCCUAGGUAAUCCAGGAUGUACAGGUUAAUUCUUGGAAUUUGGAACAUGAUAUUGUUCAAUAAUCCAGAAGAGUACUUUCAUGAGGGGAGAAAUGAAAUUGGUAAUUAGAACAAUGUUAGUGCAGUUACUUUUUGGCAAUCUUGGAUAAAAACGUGAAACUUCACUGUUUUCACUUGGAGACCACAUGUGGGAAAAAGUGAGGGUGAAAUUCACAGUCAGAUGCUUUUAUGUAGCAGAGGCUGUUUGAUGUUCUCUUAAACAUGUAAAAACAUUGUAUACAUUUUGGUUACGAUUUCAAAAAUAUUUAUAGAGCUCUAGUAUUAUGGAAGCUUCAUACAAAAAAAUGCAUGGAGCUAACUUUGACCUCUGACAUUGACAUAGUUUCUGAAUAACCAUAAUUACCACAUAGACAUGAUUUUGUGUAGGAAAAAUAUAAACAAAGUCCAAUGCCAAUGAAAUAUAGAGAAGUCAAGCUGAUUUUGGUGGAAGAGCCAUAGACUUGGGUACAAGGCUCUUAAAACAGUCCAUCUGCUUUUCUGAAGUUAAAAUUCCCUAUUGGAUUUUAAUAUAACCUAGUAGUACAUGACUAGUUGUUAGGGUGCCUUUUAAUAAUAACCCAAUAGUGAAAAGGAGUCAGCUUUAGGGCAUUUUCUUGCUGCAUAAAUAUAUUUCAAUGAUCUACUUCAAAUGAUGUGGCACUGUGUCAGAAUGACGUUAACAUAUUGUAUUAAAUAUAGAUAUAGCAGAGAAUUAGGGUUGAUGCCGACUCCUUAAAGCAGGGAGAUUGCUUAUGUUGCAAAGUAAAAUAAAUAAAUAAAUAAAACAGGAUGCUUCCAGUUGUGCUGCAGUGUGGCGGAGGGGGUGGUGGGAGUGGUGGACCAUGUCUCCUUAACUUCAGCAUAAUCAACUGGACUGUGAAAGGUUAUUUUACGAGAUGCUGUUUGGAUCCCUUGGUCCAGAAUAAAGCUGCAACAACAGGGCUCUCCUAGGGAUAGCUAGAAAAUGUAGAAAAUUCUUACGGGAACCAAUUACCAGUACUCACACGCCUGAUACAUGCUUAGCGGACAGUGGAAGUACUGAGGGCUGGUGAAGGGUCUCUGGUCACCAAGUGCAAACAUUUAUCUUUGAAGCAACAGGGUGGGCCAGACUGGUCAUGAUAAACAUUCAUGUUCCACUAGAUAAAGGGGCAUAUUUUGUGAAAACCUUCAGGCAAAAAAAAAAAA